UACAGAGGGGGCAAGCGUUAUUCGGAAUUAUUGGGCGUAAAGAGCUCGUAGGCGGCUUGGCAAGUCGGGUGUGAAACCUCCAGGCUCAACCUGGAGACGCCACUCGAUACUGCCAUGGCUAGAGUCCGGUAGGGGACCACGGAAUUCCUGGUGUAGCGGUGAAAUGCGCAGAUAUCAGGAGGAACACCGGUGGCGAAGGCGGGUCUCUGGGCCGGUACUGACGCUGGAGACGCGAAAGCGUGGGGAGCAAAC
rnacentral:rRNA from 1 species